AGAGUUUGAUCCUAGCUCAGGGUGAACGCUGGCGGCGUGGAUGAGGCAUGCAAGUCGAAUGGGCUUAGACCCAUGGCAGACGAGGUAGGAACACGUAGGUACAUACCCCGAAGUCAGGGAUAAUCCGGAGAAAUCCGGGAUAAUACUUGAUAGUCACGAAAGUGUAAAGAUUUAUCGCUUCGGGAAUGGCCUGCGUUCUAUCAGCUUGUUGGUAAGGUAACGGCUUACCAAGGCUACGACGGAUAGGGGAGGUGAGAGCCUGACCCCCACCGAUGGAACUGCGACACGGUCCACACUCCUACGGGAGGCUGCAGUCGAGAAUCUUCCGCAAUGGACGAGAGUCUGACGGAGCGACGCCGCGUGGUGGAUGAAGCCCUUAGGGGCGUAAACACCUUUUGUGAAGGAGAAAGUAUAUUGAUGUUACUUCAUGAAUAAGGGGCUCCCAAUUCUGUGCCAGCAGGAGCGGUAAUACAGAAGCCCCAAGCGUUACCCGGAUUUACUGGGCGUAAAGGAUGCGUAGGCGGUUAUAUUAGUCGGAUGUUAAAUCCUGGGGCUCAACCUCAGGCUCGCAUUCGAAACGGUAUAACUAGAAGAAAUGAGAGGUGAACAGAACUCAUGGUGUAGGGGUGAAAUCCGUUGAUAUCAUGGGGAAUACCAAAUGCGAAGGCAGUUCACUGGCAUUUUCUUGACGCUGAGGCAUGAAAGCGUGGGUAGCGAACGGGAUUAGAUACCCCGGUAGUCCACGCCCUAAACGCUGUCUGCUAGCUAUGAGGAGAAUCGACCCUCUUUGUGGCGUAGGUAACCCGAUAAGCAGACCGCCUGGGUAGUACGAGCGCAAGCUUAAAACUCAAUGGAAUAGACGGGGGCUCGCACAAGCGUGGAGCGCGUGGCUUAAUUCGUCGUUAAGCGAAAAACCUUACCGAGGCUAGAAACCAUACUGCACGACCCGGGAAACCGGGUAAGCUUUCGAAGGUGUAUGGCAGGUGAUGCAUGGCCGUCGUCAGUUCGUGGCUUGAGCUGUUCCCUUAAGUGGGGAAACGAACGCAACCCUCGUUGCCUGUUACAAGUGUCAGGCGAGACUGCUCCCUCACGGGAGAGGAAGGUGAGGAUGACGCCAGGUCAGCAUGUCCCUUGAUGCCUCGGGCUGCACACACGCUACAAUGGGACGCACAACGGGACGCAAUACAGUAAUGUGGAGCAAAUCCUUAUAAAACGUCCCCCAGUUCGGAUUGAGGGCUGCAACUCGCCCUCAUGAAGUUGGAAUCGCUAGUAAUCGCGGAUCAGCACGCCGCGGUGAAUACGUUCCCGAGCCUUGUACUCACCGCCCGUCAACUCAAGGGAGUCGGGAGUGCCCGAAGUUCGCGUUUAUCGCGACCUACGGUAAGCUCGAUGACAGGGAGUAAGUCGUAACAAGGCA
rnacentral:rRNA from 1 species